GGGUUCAGUGGGCCCUGGGCUUAGUGGACUAGCCCACCCUUGGUCCAAUCGAAGGAUGCUGGCCAUGUUCCCUUUCAAACGGCCUACUUUCGAACUCAAGGAGAACGUCCAUUAACCUGCGUUGUGGAAGCGGCUCAGAGGAGAAAGACGCAAGAGUGACAACCGCGUCAUACUCGGACGACAACCCCGCAAGAACAAUCUCCACCCUUUCGGAAUCCGAAAUCUGAUGAUCUGAGGCCUCAAGCAGAGCACAUGUAUUUUGAAUUUUAGCAAUGUAUUCUUUAAUCCUUAAGGUACCUUUCUUGAUGGAAUGUAAAUCGUGUUUGAUACGAGACAACUUGGCAGCAGUCACGGCGGCAAACAGACGAUUGGCGGUGGUCCAUACAUCAUUAGAGGUUCGCACAUCAGUGAAACACGAGAGUAAGGAGCCACUGAUCGUGGAUAGCAACCAUGACGCAAGGAGCUUAUCCUGUUGAUGAAACACCGAAGCUUUAGGAUUCAACACCAUCUGGCCCUCUUGAGUCGACACAAAACGACGUGGAGACGGAAGAGAUCCAUCAACAAAACCGGUGAGAUCAUAACCUUCUAGAAUGAGUUUAAUGUGUUGCUGCCACUGUAUAAAAUUGCCUUCAUCGAGCUUAACUGUAUCCUGUUUAGGAAAACACUGCAGUGUUACCAGAUUCAGAGUGAACCGAAGGUGCCGGAUCACGCACAGAUGGAGGAUGGUCAUUAGUGGCAGAGACAAAAUUCGCGGAUUGAGCCAUGAGAACGCAGCAGGAAACGCAACCAGGAUCUUAGGCGAAUGAACCAUGAAAGUGAAUGUAACAAUAUGAAAAUCAAAUUUGAGACUAACACUGGUAAAUGAAUCUUUUCACUUGAAUUUUAGUGUAUGUUUACAUUAAUUUGAUUAUUUGCUUAUACACAUAUUUAUACUAAGCUAUAGGACCUUAACUGCUGUUAACUGAAUACUAACAACCUACUAACAAUUUGAACAAACUGAACUGACUAAUUGACUUGCAGCUCCUUUGAUAUAUUCUAACAGAAGCAAAGAAAGGUUUCUUUGUUUGGUUGAGUUUUGGGUUACUUCAAGAUGAAGAAGAACAUCCAAUUCCAUGUUGUAGCAAUUGGAAGCUACCUUACCCAUUACUCAACCCACCGCAUAUUCCUUCAAUCCUUCAGUUUUCUUUCUUUCUUUCUACCAUAGAUUAUUAAUUAAAUAAAAACAUAAAAACAAUCAUCCAUGUUUUUCUCUUCUUCUCUUUUUUUUUCUUAGAAAAUAAAUUUAUUGAAUUAAAAUGUAGAAACUAGUCUUACAAAAGUUCAUUACAGUUUUGAAAUAUUAGAUGAAACAAUAAGAAACACGCUUCAAACAUGGAUACUCUCUCAAUGCCAUUUUCGCCCAAGAAUCUGCAAAGAAGUUAGCUUCGCUGAAGGCACGAGGUGAAAAAUCUUUUUAACGGUACAAUUUGAUAUAUAAAUGAUAAACUAUAUGUUUAUGAUGUUAUUGUGCAUAUAAAUUAAAAUGGAGUCGUGUUAAAUGGAUGUUUGACAAAAAUUUUUAAAAAAUAAACUAUAAUUAUAAUUGCAAUUGUAAUUUAAGACUAUAAUUAUAAUUGCAAUUGUAAUUUAAGUAAUAAAUGGUAUAAGAAAUCACAAAGUUUUCAUCAAAAUGACUUUAAUUAUAGUUCCUAACCCUUUGUCUGACUUAUGACGAUUGCUUUUGCUUUGUAAUAGUGAGUAAAAGAUAAGAUCCAAGAUGAAAAAGAAUAUUGGACCUAGCUAUCUUUGAUGCAUUGGCAAUCUAGCUAGUAGGGGAACUGGAUCCAUCCUUCUACUUGGCAGGGCAGGCGUAAAAAUAGACAAACACAUUGAAUUCAUAUACCACUUAUCUCUUUCUUUUUUAGUCCUCUAGCUAGUCUUCUACCAUUACAUUUGUUCCUCCCAUUUAAUUCAUCUCUUAAUUAAAUUUAUCAUGAUCUGUAUGUUACUUACAUCACAUGCCUAGUAAUAUUUCAAUUUAUUGAUUCCUUAUUGUAACAUAUACAUAUUCACUCUUAAUUGCAUUUUUAAUAUUCUUUAAUUUCACUCCACAAUUAAUUUAUACGCGUUUAAUAAUCAAUUAUU
rnacentral:lncRNA from 1 species